rnacentral:rRNA from 1 species
UUUUAUGAGAGUUUGAUCCUGGCUCAGGACGAACGCUGGCGGCGUGCCUAAUACAUGCAAGUCGUACGCUUCUUUUUCCACCGGAGCUUGCUCCACCGGAAAAAGAAGAGUGGCGAACGGGUGAGUAACACGUGGGUAACCUGCCCAUCAGAAGGGGAUAACACUUGGAAACAGGUGCUAAUACCGUAUAACAAUCGAAACCGCAUGGUUUUGAUUUGAAAGGCGCUUUCGGGUGUCGCUGAUGGAUGGACCCGCGGUGCAUUAGCUAGUUGGUGAGGUAACGGC